GCGAAAUGUUCCCGCCGGCGCCAAUGUUCAAACCCUGCUGGUGGGAAGCCUUAGCCCCAAUUAGAAUUAACUUCUUGGGCUCCGGAACUGACAUAUGGAAGAGCUUGCCAAUAAACAGGCGACCUGUUAUCUACCUCAGCACUGCAACCUCUCUUAGACCUAUAUAAACACACAGCCUUUUGUAAUAAAGCGGAAACCUCUUUGGUGAUCUGUGUCGUGUGGUGCAGCGUCUUCCAGUCUUAUAUGUUUAAGUAGCUGUCUGGUGCCCACAUCACCCUCCAGAAAGAAAGAUGCACCUCAGAUAGACGUGUGGUGUGUGUAGAGGCUCUUACCUUGGUGUAGAUCUCAGUGGGGAGCCUCCAAUCUGUAACUGCUGUUUACAGAUGACAAGUCCUUGCUUUCCCGAAUGCUGAAGUAUAACACCAGAGAAGCACGACGAGGCAAGUGUAGAGUGGAAAGUAGAAGCUUUAUUAAAGGACAGCAGAAAAGACUUCUCCCCGGAGGAAGAAGGGGACCCAAAAGGUGAAAUCCUAAAAUGUUAUUUUAAUCACAUAAACAAAUUUUCUCUUUAUGUGACUUUUUAUAGAUUUAUCUUUUUUUUUUAAGAAAGAGAGAGAGAGAGAAAUUUUUAAUAUUUAUUUUUUAGUUUUCGGUGGAUACAACAUCUUUAUUUUAUUUUAUGUGGUGCUGAGGAUCGAAACCAGGGCCCCACGCAUGCCAGGUGAGCGUGCUAUCGCUUGAGCCACAUCCCCAGCCCAAG
rnacentral:lncRNA from 1 species